AUCGCUUCUUGGCCUUUUGGCUAAGAUCAAGUGUAGUAUAUUACAAAACUAUUGUGAUUAAAACAGCAU
ensembl:snRNA U2 U2 spliceosomal RNA